AGCGAACGCUGGCGGCAGGCUUAACACAUGCAAGUCGAACGGAUCCUUCGGGAUUAGUGGCGGACGGGUGAGUAACACGUGGGAACGUGCCUUUUGGUUCGGAACAACACAGGGAAACUUGUGCUAAUACCGAAUGUGCCCUUCGGGGAAGAUUAUCGCCAUUAGAGCGGCCCGCGUCUGAUUAGCUAGUUGGUGAGGUAAAGGCUCACCAAGGCUACGAUCAGUAGCUGGUCUGAGAGGAUGAUCAGCCACACUGGGACUGAGACACGGCCCAGACUCCUACGGGAGGC
rnacentral:rRNA from 1 species